GACGAACGCUGGCGGCGUGCUUAACACAUGCAAGUCGAACGGUGAACCCCGUCGGAGGGGAGCAGUGGCGCACGGGGGAGUAAAACGUGGGCAACCGGCCCCCGUCUCUGGGAUAACUCCAAGAAAUUGGGGCUAAUACCGGUCGUUCACCGCUUCCCGCAUGGGUGGAGGUGGAAAGGGUUUCCGGCUGGGGUUUGGCCCGCGGCCUAUACGCUUGCUGGGAGGGUAGUGGCCUACCAUGGCGACGACGGGUAGCCGGGCCGAGAGGGUGAGCCGCCACACUGGGACUGGACCGCGACACAGACUCCUCCGGGAGGCAGCGGUGCGGAAUAUUGCGCUAUGGGCGGAAGCCUGACGCGACGCCGCCGCGUCGCGGGUGUCGGCCUUGGGGUUGUAUUGCUCUUUCAGCAGGCACGAGGCGAAAGUGACGGUACCUGCAGAAGAAGCACCGGCCAACUCCGUG
rnacentral:rRNA from 1 species